rnacentral:rRNA from 1 species
UAAUGUAUGGGGAUCUGCCCGAUAGAGGGGGGUAACUACUGGAAACGGUGGCUAAUACCGCAUAAUGUCUACGGACCAAAGCAGGGGCUCUUCGGACCUUGCACUAUCGGAUGAACCCAUAUGGGAUUAGCUAGUAGGUGGGGUAAAGGCUCACCUAGGCGACGAUCUCUAGCUGGCUGAGAGGAUGAUCAGCCACACUGGGACUGAGACACGGCCCAG